ACACAAUGUGUUGUUGGGUAGGGGAGCGUUCUGUAAGCCUGCGAAGGUGUACUGUGAGGUAUGCUGGAGGUAUCAGAAGUGCGAAUGCUGACAUAAGUAACGAUAAUGCGGGUGAAAAACCCGCACGCCGGAAGACCAAGGGUUCCUGUCCAACGUUAAUCGGGGCAGGGUGAGUCGACCCCUAAGGCGAGGCUGAAAAGCGUAGUCGAUGGGAAACGGGUUAAUAUUCCCGUACUGGUGGUAACUGCGAUGGGGGAACGGAGAAGGCUAGGUUGUCCGGGCGACGGUCGUCCCGGUUCAAGCAGGUAGGCAGAGUGAUUAGGCAAAUCCGGUCACUUAAUGCUGAGAUGUGAUGACGAACCACCAAGGUGGUGAAGCAAUUGAUGCCCCGCUUCCAGGAAAAGCCUCUAAGCUUCAGGUUACCAACAAUCGUACCCCAAACCGACACAGGUGGUCAGGUAGAGAAUACUCAGGCGCUUGAGAGAACUCGGGUGAAGGAACUAGGCAAAAUGGUGCCGUAACUUCGGGAGAAGGCACGCUGGCGGUAGGUAAAGUCCCUCGCGGACGGCGCUGAAGCCAGUCGAAGAUACCAGCUGGCUGCAACUGUUUAUUAAAAACACAGCACUGUGCAAACACGAAAGUGGACGUAUACGGUGUGACGCCUGCCCGGUGCUGGAAGGUUAAUUGAUGGGGUUAGCGCAAGCGAAGCUCCUGAUCGAAGCCCCAGUAAACGGCGGCCGUAACUAUAACGGUCCUAAGGUAGCGAAAUUCCUUGUCGGGUAAGUUCCGACCUGCACGAAUGGCGUAAUGAUGGCCAGGCUGUCUCCACCCGAGACUCAGUGAAAUUGAACUCGCUGUGAAGAUGCAGUGUACCCGCGGCAAGACGGAAAGACCCCGUGAACCUUUACUAUAGCUUGACACUGAACAUUGAGCCUUGAUGUGUAGGAUAGGUGGGAGGCUUUGAAGUGUGGACGCCAGUCUGCAUGGAGCCAACCUUGAAAUACCACCCUUUAACGUUUGAUGUUCUAACCUAGGCCCGUGAUCCGGGUCGGGGACCGUGUCUGGUGGGUAGUUUGACUGGGGCGGUCUCCUCCUAAAGAGUAACGGAGGAGCACGAAGGUUGGCUAAGCAUGGUCGGACAUCAUGCGGUUAGUGCAAAGGCAUAAGCCAGCUUGACUGCGAGAGUGACGGCUCGAGCAGGUACGAAAGUAGGUCUUAGUGAUCCGGUGGUUCUGAAUGGAAGGGCCAUCGCUCAACGGAUAAAAGGUACUCCGGGGAUAACAGGCUGAUACCGCCCAAGAGUUCAUAUCGACGGCGGUGUUUGGCACCUCGAUGUCGGCUCAUCACAUCCUGGGGCUGAAGUAGGUCCCAAGGGUAUGGCUGUUCGCCAUUUAAAGUGGUACGCGAGCUGGGUUUAGAACGUCGUGAGACAGUUCGGUCCCUAUCUGCCGUGGGCGUUGGAAGAUUGAGAGGGGUUGCUCCUAGUACGAGAGGACCGGAGUGAACGCACCACUGGUGUUCGGGUUGUCAUGCCAAUGGCAUUGCCCGGUAGCUAAGUGCGGAAGAGAUAACCGCUGAAAGCAUCUAAGCGGGAAACUUGCCUCGAGAUGAGUCUUCCCUGUCGCUUAAAG
rnacentral:rRNA from 1 species